rnacentral:rRNA from 1 species
GCAUGAUAUUUUUAUUAAAGAAAUUCGGUUAUCGAUGGGGAUGCGUUCCAUUAGUUUGUUGGCGGGGUAACGGCCCACCAAGACUACGAUGGAUAGGGGUUCUGAGAGGAAGGUCCCCCACAUUGGAACUGAGACACGGUCCAAACUCCUACGGGAGGCAGCAGUGAGGAAUAUUGGUCAAUGGGCGAGAGCCUGAACCAGCCAAGUAGCGUGAAGGAUGAAGGCUCUAUGGGUCGUAAACUUCUUUUAUAUGGGAAUAAAGUAUUCCACGUGUGGAAUUUUGUAUGUACCAUAUGAAUAAGGAUCGGCUAACUCCGUGCCAGCAGCCGCGGUAAUACGGAGGAUCCGAGCGUUAUCCGGAUUUAUUGGGUUUAAAGGGAGCGUAGGUGGAUUGUUAAGUCAGUUGUGAAAGUUUGCGGCUCAACCGUAAAAUUGCAGUUGAAACUGGCAGUCUUGAGUACAGUAGAGGUGGGCGGAAUUCGUGGUGUAGCGGUGAAAUGCUUAGAUAUCACGAAGAACUCCGAUUGCGAAGGCAGCUCACUAGACUGUUACUGACACUGAUGCUCGAAAGUGUGGGUAUCAAACAGGAUUAGAUACCCUGGUAGUCCACACAGUAAACGAUGAAUACUCGCUGUUUGCGAUAUACAGUAAGCGGCC